rnacentral:rRNA from 1 species
GACGAACGCUGGCGGCGUGCCUAAUACAUGCAAGUCGAGCGAACAGAAGGGAGCUUGCUCCCGGAUGUUAGCGGCGGACGGGUGAGUAACACGUGGGUAACCUGCCUGUAAGACUGGGAUAACUCCGGGAAACCGGAGCUAAUACCGGAUAGUUCCUUGAACCGCAUGGUUCAAGGAUGAAAGACGGUUUCGGCUGUCACUUACAGAUGGACCCGCGGCGCAUUAGCUAGUUGGUGGGGUAAUGGCUCACCAAGGCGACGAUGCGAAGCCGACCUGGGAGGGUGAUCGGCCACACUGGGACUGAGACACGGCCCAGACUCCUACGGGAGGCAGCAGUAGGGAACCUUCCGCAAUGGACGAAAGUCUGACGGAGCAACGCCGCGUGAGUGAUGAAGGUUUUCGGAUCGUAAAGCUCUGUUGUUAGGGAAGAACAAGUGCGAGAGUAACUGCUCGCACCUUGACGGUACCUAGCCAGAAAGCCACGGCUAACUACGUGCCAGCAGCCGCCGUAAAAC